AUAAAAAGGCUCUCAUUUCAAGAUAAAAUCCACCCUGAAUUGAGAGCCUCUAGUGAUCUAGUCGGCAUGUUUAGAUUUUUCAAAUAAAUCUUUAGUGAUAUAUUAAAUUGAAUUAAUCCUAUAUGUCAAGUCGGAAUUAAAAAUUUAUUUGCAUAUAAAUCAUGUAAUAAAUAUUUACUCAAGGA
rnacentral:antisense_RNA from 1 species